GACGAACGCUGGCGGCGUGCCUAACACAUGCAAGUCACGGGGGUAGCAAUACCAACCGGCGAACGGGUGCGUAACACGUGAGCAAUCUGCCGAUUUCUGGGGGAUAGCCGGUCCAACGACCGGGUAAUACCGCAUACGCUCUUCGAGGGACAUCCCUUGAAGAGGAAAGCCCAGGCGGAAAUCGAGGAGCUCGCGGCCUAUCAGCUAGUUGGCGAGGUAACGGCUCACCAAGGCGACGACGGGUAGCUGGU
rnacentral:rRNA from 1 species